CCCAUCGUCCGCAGCCGAGUGUCACGGGCGGAUUCGGGGCCGGGGUUUCUAGCGGGGGAUGGGUCAAAACACUGCGGCCUUCCCAGGCAGACCCAGAAAGCGGUUCUGCGCAGGCGCGGCCGCUCGUGCGUCCAUCCGGGUCCUCCGCCGGCGGUUGCCCGGGCGGUUGCCAUGGAGCCCGGGCGGAAGUUCGGGGGCGGAGCCAGCGCGAGGUUUGUGUGAGGAGUGGGGAGCGCGAUUGUGGUGGGCUUCUCCGCCCGAGACCCUCGUCGCGUCGCCGGCAUGUCGCGGAGCCCCAGCGAGGCCGCGGAGGAGCGGGAGUCGGCAGAAGAUAACUCUCUUGCUCCGACUUAUGAUUCUGAUACAGAAACAACACUGAAGAAGAAAAUGUCUCGCAGGCCUGCAAAAUCAAGUGAGUGUCACAUCGCAACGUUGGUUGACCUGGUGUCCUUUCCUUUGAGACAACUUAGUCUUAA